rnacentral:rRNA from 1 species
GUAGUCAUAUGCUUGUCUCAAAGAUUAAGCCAUGCAUGUCUAAGUAUAAGCAACUUGUACUGUGAAACUGCGAAUGGCUCAUUAAAUCAGUUAUCGUUUAUUUGAUAGUACCUUACUACAUGGAUACCUGUGGUAAUUCUAGAGCUAAUACAUGCUAAAAACCCCGACUUCAGGAAGGGGUGUAUUUAUUAGAUUAAAAACCAAUGCCCCUCGGGGCUCUCUGGUGAAUCAUGAUAACUAGUCGAAUCGACAGGCCUUGUGCCGGCGAUGGCUCAUUCAAAUUUCUUCCCUAUCAACUUUCGAUGUUUGGGUAUUGUCCAAACAUGGUGGCAACGGGUAACGGAGGGUUAGGGCUCGACCCCGGAGAAGGAGCCUGAGAAACGGCUACUACAUCCAAGGAAGGCAGCAGGCGCGCAAAUUACCCAAUCCCGACACGGGGAGGUAGUGACA